GGUGAGAAGAUACCCCUCAUCCAAGGUAAGGGGCAGUGGCUGCGCUUUGCUGGAGCAGCUGUGAAGAGAUACCCCACGUCCAAGCUCAAGAAGAGACUUGAUCACCAUCACAAUUCUCACAUACCUCAGUUGGCCAGAGGGAUAAAGGAUGCAGCAUUUCUGUCUCCUCCGUGGGGCCAAAGAGGGCUCCUUUGUGGUUAACAGCAGUCCAUGGAGGACAGCCUGGGAGGAAACCUAAGGGCUGGCCUGGAACAUGUGCAAGGCAGUGACUUCAGAGACUCCCAGAACAGCUGCCAGCUGAGUAAUAGUCCAUUGUGUAUAUGUGCCACUACUUCCUUAUCCAAUCUUCUGCCGAUGGACAUCAAAGUUGCUUCCAUGUCCCAGCUGUUGUGAAUGGUGCUGCACUGAACACUGGGAAAAUUAAGAAUAAGGUCACUAAAUGCUUGAGGGGGACAAAUCCAAAUCAUACCUCCCAAGACACAGUUCGAGCAAAUGCCUGCUGGUGUGUGGAGACAGAAGCAAUACACUGUGUGUGUCACUCUGCUGUGGACCACUAAUCGCUGAAGGCUAAGGGAGCACAUCCAUGUUUAUUUUUAUGAAUGUUCUGCUCUGCAAACUCUGUGGGACAGGCAGAGACAGCCAUGGUCCAGGACUCAGAAUGCUUGUCUUUCAUUCUGCUGCCCCUUAUAAGGUGCAUGAUGUUAAUAAGAAAACCAGUUUUCUGAGCCUCUUCCCAGAUCUUCUGUCCUCAUCCAUGGAUGGAGAAUGAUGAUAUUUAUCUCCUGCUCUUAUUAUGAAGUUCAAGUUCAGCUCUUUUCAGGAUAUAAAUCUGGAUUUCAAGUGUUAAAUGCUACACAACUGAGUGGAAUUAGUGAGCAAGUUUAAAAACCCAGUGGAUGAAAGAAAAUUAUGAAAGUAUGUAUGAAAACCCAUUUUAGUUAACAAGAUGAAAGGAAAACAUAGAUUUUAGAGCUGAGGAGAAAAUAUAUCAAUAGGAUUUGGAAAUUUCUUUUUUUAGCAUGACCUACCUUGCCUAGUG
ensembl:lncRNA